GGUGGGGUUCCCGAGUGGCCAAAGGGAGCAGACUGUAAAUCUGCCGUCGGUGACUUCGGUGGUUCGAAUCCACCCCCCACCA
rnacentral:tRNA from 1 species